GACGAACGCUGGCGGCGUGCUUAACACAUGCAAGUCGAACGGAAAGGCCCUGCUUUUGUGGGGUGUUCGAGUGGCGAACGGGUGAGUAACACGUGAGUAACCUGCCCUUGACUUUGGGAUAACUUCAGGAAACUGGGGCUAAUACCGGAUAGCAGCUCCUGCUGCAUGGUGGGGGUUGGAAAGUUUCGGCGGUUGGGGAUGGACUCGCGGCUUAUCAGCUUGUUGGUGGGGUAGUGGCUUACCAAGGCUUUGACGGGUAGCCGGCCUGAGAGGGUGACCGGCCACAUUGGGACUGAGAUACGGCCCAGACUCCUACGGGAGGCAGCAGUGGGGAAUAUUGCACAAUGGGCGGAAGCCUGAUGCAGCAACGCCGCGUGCGGGAUGACGGCCUUCGGGUUGUAAACCGCUUUCGCCUGUGACGAAGCGUGAGUGACGGUAAUGGGUAAAGAAGCACCGGCUAACUACGUG
rnacentral:rRNA from 1 species